ACUGUCACCACCAUUUAGGAUAAACACGUAUCCUGAUAUUGACUUACUAUCCUCUGAAUCAUAUUGAAAAUUAGAAUCUGUAUAUCUCUCUAGUUUCAAUUCUGAUCCUUUUCUAUAUAUAAGAAAAAUAUUUUAGUCCUUCUUAGGUACUUCAGAAUAUUUUUCAUAGCUUUUCAAUGAUCCUCCCCUGGAUCAGUCUGAAAUCUGCUAGCUA
rnacentral:lncRNA from 1 species